rnacentral:sRNA from 1 species
CUACAGGUAUGCUAUUCUUGUUUUACACAGAAAAACAGGGGCAAAAAGGAAUUCCCCGUAUGUUCCAGGUUACCUGGCUGGUAUGUGGCAGAGCUGUAACUGAUGUCCAGACCUCUAGCUAGGGCUCCCCUCAAGAUGCGGUACUGGGGCAGCCCAAAGGGUGCUUCUCUGCAAGAUCCCUUCAGCCUCUAUUGGUCUGUGCUAGUUUCUGCAUUUGUUUGCUUCUUUGAAUCUAGUCAAAGACCUGAUUUUCCUUUUCAGGAUAGCUGUGCUAUCUUCCUAGAAUAGUAAACACACCUUGAGUGCUUUCCAUAUGCCAGGCCUUGAUAAUAAAGUACUUAUUGGAUGUUGGGUACUAUCCUAUAUGUCAAGCUACUUGACAUUUUAACUUAUUUAAAAUGAUAACCAGUUCCCUAUGGAAUAUAUUAUAUUGCCACCCCAAAUUUACAGAUAAGCAAGCUGACAGCCCAAUGUCGCACAGCCUGUAAAAGAUACAGUUGGUGCUGGUACCCAGACUGAAAGGCAGAAAAUGGCUCCACACCAAUAAAAAAUGGAGGCCUCCUUUGCUCUGAAAACCUGUGAACUGAUACCUCGCCUUCUUUUAUCUUCACAACUUACUGAAAUAAAUCCCCUUGAUAGAAUUUCCAUUCUAAACUAAAGCUUCAAGCAACCUAAGGAGACCUAUCUCCCCCACCCCUCAGAUUCUACCUUGGUGAGUUGAACAGCCAAAUCAACUCUUCUUGGUUCAAUGCUUAAGGUGUGUGUCUGAAACCUGAACAACUACCUCUGUGGCUUCUGGUCAGUAGCGCAGCGCGGCUACAUCCGCAGUUCUGUGCGUACGUACUCUAAGUCAGCUACAAAGAUCCUUCCAUUGCUACCUUCUAUUCUGGAAAGUGUCUGGAAACCUCCUCGAAGUUCACUAAAGGAACUGAAACCCAGAAACAAAGAGGCAUCACUAACUUCCCGCUGGCCAGACCAAGACCAAGACCUCAUCUUUUCCCCUCCCUCUCCCCUUCCGGGAGUUUCACGAAGUCAGUUAGACACAACUACUGAGGUUGUGGAGUGAGAGCGUGUGGAGUGCGCAGGCCGGAAGAAAUAUCUUUCGUGGCGAGGUCUGGGGAUCAGCGUGGGAAAAGGUAUCGAGCGUGGUGUAGCUUGCAGGCAGGCACCGCUGAAGAUGACCAACCAGAGAGCAGGAGCUAGAGGCACUCGGCAGAUCUUCACUCUCCAGUGCGCGUCCUGGUGCCAAGUGUCAUUGACCAACUGAUUGAAAAAUGCUUCAGCUCUAGGAAAGGAGCGUUAGACUUGGUGCUUCCAUUGGGGGUUGGGCAGGGAGAGAUGGGACAGGUCAGGGAGCAGUAGCCUGGCUGGGACUCACCAGACUCAAGGCCUGGGUGCUCUGGUCACUCCUUCCCCAAUUCAUCCAGCUCAGAACUCUGCAUCACAAAGCACUGUGGAACUCUGCGCUACUCUGAGAAAGCUCAGGGCACUUCCCAGGUCUCCCGCCUCUGUAGGGAGUGUCCCUUGACACUUGCAGCUUUCUUACACCUGCAGCUUCCUCGCGCCAACUCUUGCCAGCGCUUAUCCUAAUCACUAGGGUGUGUCGGUGAAAACUGGGGUCACUUAUUACCUGGACUGAAGGUCUGUUGAUUUCUUAACCUCCGUUAUAAGAGAGAGUUUUAGACCCAUUUUACAGAAGAAGGACCUGAAGAUCUGUGAUGUAUAUCUAAAGAACUGUUAAGUUGUGAGGUGACAACCAUGGGACACGGCUUAAGAGAUGAACUUCCUCAGUUACUAUUGGGGCAUUCUAACCUGCAGUGGGCAGGUCAAAGGCCUCCCUACAUCUGAGUCUGAAAAAAGUGAGAAGGUAGGAAGAUAUGUCCCAUAAACUAGAUACUGAGGGACCCCGGAGCCCUGAUCUCUUAGGAGAGCAAGACUUGACACCUCAGAUCAGCCUUUGAUUUGGGUUUCCACCAAAUAGCCUCAACUUCCUCAGACCUAAAGUGCCAAUAAUUAAACCUGGCUCAUGUCAGCCCUUGAAAGUCAGAGGUCACCUCGGAAGCCUUUAAGAGCUGGCACUUGGGUUCCACUCCCCUGGAACAGGGCUGUAUGAUGGUUUGGCCUCUCUGUUUCUCUGGUUCGCCCCUUGCCGGGUUGGUUGUCAAAGCUCUCACAGAGCUUUGCUUUAAGGAUGGUUUUGAGACUUUCAGAUGAAGGAAUGAGCUUGUUCUUCAUUUCCUGGUGGCAGAAGGAUGACACAAACAAGAGCCUCAUGCCUCUGGUCCUUCAUUGGAGCAACAGGUCCUUAGGACUAACAUGAGCUCCUGCAGAAACUGCCCUCACUUAGCAACCAUGGAUCUUAGUAACUAGAUCCCCAAAGUUCAUCAGAUUCCAAGGCUUCUGAGCGCUGGGUUUUCCUUGUAGGUAAAGGAACCUUGCUCUCAGGAGAGGUAAAGAACUCUGAGAAACCGACAAAACCAAGCCGACUCUCAGCCAGGCCGCAUCCCUCCACCUCUCUGGGCACAGUUCUGGACUGCAGACCUCUAGGUUUUGGAACAGUCGGGCCCAGAGCUCCCCUGCCACAUAUGGUCUGUGGACUUAGGUGUCAAAAACCGGAGAAUUAGAAAUGAACUUGUAUGCUGGGGAACUGAAGACAUGUAUGGAAAGUCCUGUGGUCAGUCUCGAGUACUCUGAAGCCUAAGAGUUUGAAACCAGUGUCACCGGAAACUGGCUCUGUCCCUAGCAGCCAACUCAGAAGAUGGGAAGGAAAAUGAGGCACAGUGCCAGAGACCUUCACCUAGCAAAACCAGCUCCUGAGGUCAACCACCCUGAGGGCAACUGUUCAGCCCGUCUGACAUGUAUGGGCACAACCAAAGUGGAGCUGCCGUCUAGUCAACUGUCAGAAAGAGGUGUCAUCUUGGAUAGCCUCAGAUUAGGAGCCCCGGCUGGUGUUUCCCUGGGAAACAGAUAUUUGUUGACCUCCUCCCACUCCCGGCAACCUCACCGGGAGAGUUUGGCAGGUGAGUGGUUGCCUAGAAUAAAACCCCAGGGCUCCGAGUAUUAGCGGGCUCCCAAGGAGCUCUACUCUACUUCCCAUUUAGCAUCUCUGCUGGGUAGAGUAUCCCUUGCCCUCCUUUGGGGCCCAGGAGUUCUUCAGCCGGUUUUGGGGUUUGAGGAACAAUGCCUUC